rnacentral:lncRNA from 10 species
GAACUCCCACACUCUGAAUGAACAGCCCAGUGAUCAGGAGCUUUGAAUCAAUUCUUGGCACCUAACAGUUUGUGAAGAGUCUGCUAAACUCCCUCUAUCAGAAAUCCCAGAGGACUGAGAACAGGUCAUCCUUGGAGCUGUAUCUGAAUGGAGUCAGGAUCUGGAAGCCCAAGUCUCCUUGUCAAUGUCUGCUUGGUUCCCAAGGACACCUGUAAAUGGAAGAGGGGCAUAGUACACAGAAGACAUUGCUGGCAAGUGUGGUCUCUUUACGAUCAGGUGAGUCAUCUGCUGAAAUCUUUAUAAUAGACUUCUACCUUGAUGGAAUGGGUUGGACUAACGAGGAACCACCAUUACUCCAAGGCCCAGAGCAGAGCUGGGCCAUCAACUGUCUCCACACUUCCUGUCUUCUAG